rnacentral:rRNA from 1 species
GACGAACGCUGGCGGCGUGCUUAACACAUGCAAGUCGAACGAUGAUGCUGGAGCUUGCUCCAGUUGAUUAGUGGCGAACGGGUGAGUAACACGUGAGCAAUCCGCCCUUGACUCUGGGAUAACUGCGGGAAACUGUAGCUAAUACCGGAUACUUUCACCGGGGGGCAUCCUCUGGUGAUGAAAGAAUUUCGGUCAAGGAUGAGCUCGCGGCCUAUCAGCUUGUUGGUGAGGUAACGGCUCACCAAGGCGACGACGGGUAACCGGCCUGAGAGGGUGAACGGUCACACUGGGACUGAGACACGGCCCAGACUCCUACGGGAGGCAGCAGUGGGGAAUAUUGCACAAUGGGCGCAAGCCUGAUGCAGCAACGCCGCGUGAGGGAUGAAGGCCUUCGGGUUAUAAACCUCUUUUAGCAGGGAAGAAGCGAAAGUGACGGUACCUGCAGAAAAAGCACCGGCUAACUACGUGCCAGCCGCCGCAGUAA